rnacentral:sRNA from 1 species
GAAAGCGGUGCGGUAAUGUCGAGGCGGCGCAGCUGGUCGGUCGCGGCGGUGCGACGCUCCUCAUAUUCGGCGAUCUUCGCCUCGA